CACAGCUGUCAGAAGCUGCCCCGAGCACUCUGGGAAAGCAGUUGGUGUCCCUCCAGUAACACCCAGGGGCACGCUGGCACUGAAAGAGAGCCACAUGGGCAUAAAUUGCAGCCAAGACAGUGAAGUCUCCUACAGUAAAUGCAAGUAACUACAGACAAUAAAGAGAACUCAAAAAUGCUC